rnacentral:rRNA from 1 species
CUCUUGCACAACUAAAUAUAAGAGGUCUUGCCUGCCCUGUGACUAUAUGUUUUAACGGCCGCGGUAUUUUGACCGUGCGAAGGUAGCGCAAUCACUUGUCUUUUAAAUGAAGACCUGUAUGAAUGGCACGACGAGGGCUUAACUGUCUCCUUCCCUUAGUCAACGAAAUUGAUCUGCCCGUGCAGAAGCGGGCAUAACCUCAUAAGACGAGAAGACCCUAUGGAGCUUUCAGACGUAUAAGAAGCCCAAGUUAAACAGCCUUAACUAAAAGAACAAACCAAAUGGUGCCUACUUAAAUGUCUUUGGUUGGGGCGACCACGGGGAACCAUUUAACCCCCAUGAGGAAUGAGAACACACCCUUAUAGCCAAGAACAACAGUUCUAAGAAUCAGAACAUCUGCCCGCAAGAUCCGGCAAUGCCGAUUAACGAACCAAGUUACCCUAGGGAUAACAGCGCAAUCCCCUUUUAGAGUCCCUAUCAACAAGGGGGUUUACGACCUCGAUGUUGGAUCAGGACAUCCUAAUGGUGCAGUCGCUAUUAAGGGUUCGUUUGUUCAACGAUUAAAGUCCU